AUUGAACGCUGGCGGCAGGCCUAACACAUGCAAGUCGAGCGGAACGGCCGACGGGUGAGUGAUGCCUAUGAAUCUGACUGGUAGUGGGGGAUGACGUCCGGAAACGGACGCUAAUACAGCAUACUUUCAGUUGAGCCUGGGUGGGAUUAGCUAGUGGGUGGGGUAAAGGCCUACCAAGGCGACGAUCCGUAACUGGUCUGAGAGGAUGAUCAGCCACACUGGAACUGAGACACGGUCCAGACUCCUACGGGAGGCAGCAGUGGGGAAUAUUGGACAAUGGGCGAAAGCCUGAUCCAGCCAUGCCGCGUGUGUGAAGAAGGUCUUCGGAUUGUAAAGCACUUUAAGUUGGGAGGCGUUACCAACAGAAUAAGCACCGGCUAACUUCGUGCCAGCAGCCGCGGUAAUUC
rnacentral:rRNA from 1 species